CAGUCGCCGCGGUAAUACGAAGGGGGCUAGCGUUGCUCGGAAUCACUGGGCGUAAAGGGUGCGUAGGCGGGUCUUUAAGUCAGGGGUGAAAUCCUGGAGCUCAACUCCAGAACUGCCUUUGAUACUGAAGAUCUUGAGUUCGGGAGAGGUGAGUGGAACUGCGAGUGUAGAGGUGAAAUUCGUAGAUAUUCGCAAGAACACCAGUGGCGAAGGCGGCUCACUGGCCCGAUACUGACGCUGAGGCACGGAAGCGUGGGGAGCAAACAGGAUUAGAGACCCCCGUAGUCCCUGUCUCUUAUAC
rnacentral:rRNA from 1 species